rnacentral:rRNA from 1 species
UGAACGCUGGCGGCGUGCCUAAUACAUGCAAGUCGAGCGAACAGACGAGGAGCUUGCUCCUCUGACGUUAGCGGCGGACGGGUGAGUAACACGUGGAUAACCUACCUAUAAGACUGGGAUAACUUCGGGAAACCGGAGCUAAUACCGGAUAAUAUAUUGAACCGCAUGGUUCAAUAGUGAAAGACGGUUUUGCUGUCACUUAUAGAUGGAUCCGCGCCGCAUUAGCUAGUUGGUAAGGUAACGGCUUACCAAGGCAACGAUGCGUAGCCGACCUGAGAGGGGGAUCGGCCACACUGGAACUGAGACACGGUCCAGACUCCUACGGGAGGCAGCAGUAGGGAAUCUUCCGCAAUGGGCGAAAGCCUGACGGAGCAACGCCGCGUGAGUGAUGAAGGUCUUCGGAUCGUAAAACUCUGUUAUUAGGGAAGAACAAAUGUGUAAGUAACUAUGCACGUCUUGACGGUACCUAAUCAGAAAGCCACGGCUAACUACGUG